UACGUAGGGUGCGAGCGUUAAUCGGAAUUACUGGGCGUAAAGCGUGCGCAGGCGGUUUGCUAAGACCGAUGUGAAAUCCCCGGGCUUAACCUGGGAACUGCAUUGGUGACUGGCAGGCUAGAGUAUGGCAGAGGGGGGUAGAAUUCACGUGUAGCAGUGAAAUGCGUAGAGAUGUGGAGGAAUACCGAUGGCGAAGGCAGCCCCCUGGCCAAUACUGACGCUCAUGCACGAAAGCGUGGGGAGCAAACAGG
rnacentral:rRNA from 1 species